UAAAAUAGUCUAAGGAUAUCUCCCGAAAGUAUAAGAUCUAAGAGUACUAUAAGGUUAUAGCCUAAAGUUUAACUGCUGUAGCAUUAGCUCGUAAUAAAUAGCACCUUAGCGGUGAAAGGCCUACAAUUGUACUGAUAGCUGGAUAGUUACUAAAUAUAUUUAGUUUAUAAAUAAAUCUAUAAAGUGAUAAGAUUUUAUAGUUAGAAUUUAAAAUAUCAUUAAGAGUUACUAUUAACUAAUACUUAGCAGUACUUAUAUUGCAUUAAAAUAAUAUUAUAUACAAUAUUCUCCAGUAGUAAUUCAUUAAAUUAAAUUAACUUUAAAAUUGAUAAUGUAUAAAUAAGUAUAUUAAUGUAAAUUUAACUAAAUAAACUCGGCAAAUAUUAUAUACGACUGUUUAACAAAAACAUAGCCGGUAGUUAUUAUAUUAUCGGUGUGACCUGCCCGGUGAACUUUUAACGGCCGCAGUACUAUGACUGUGCAAAGGUAGCAUAAUCAUUUGACUUUUAAUUGAAGUCUAGUAUGAAAGGAAAAACGUAUAUGAGCUGUAUCAGGUAUAAAUUUAUUUAAGUUAUUUAUAGGGUGAAAAUACCCUAAGUAAUAAAAAUAGACGAGAAGACCCUUAGAAUUUUAAGAAAAACAUAAACAAUUAUGAGAUGAUUUUUGUUGGGGCAACAUUUUUUCAUUAAAUAAAAAAUAUUAUGACAUAACGAAAAAGUUUAAUAAAGAAAAAAUUACCUAAGGGAUAACAGCAUAAUUUUUAAUAAAGAUUGUGACCUCGAUGUUGGACUAGGAACUGUUAAGGCUAAUCGUUUUAAUAUAAUAUGUUCUGUUCGAACUUUACUUCCUA
rnacentral:rRNA from 1 species